UGUGUGCGAUGUUGGUGCGCAUGUGCGGCCAAUCAGUUGGGCUCUUUGUUCUUCUCAUCAUCUGUUCAUGCUUAUUUUAGUUCUGAAGGUCCACAAGAAGUGUCGUCAGUACUGUCGUCAGUUACUAUCAGUUGUAAGGACGAAGAAGAUGGUAGAAGAAAGAAGAAAUAAUUUCAUGAUGUAACUUUGAACAAAUAGCAGGUGAUGCUCCAUAGAUAGGUCUUCGUCAUUCUUGUUGCCGAGAUCGCUGAGAUCAGUUUGGAUCCGUAUGUGAUAACGAAGUUUUAUCAUCUCGUAAUUACAGAUUAUGAUUGCAGUUGUUCGUGCAGCUAUAGAUGAAUCGAUCUUUGUUUCGAUAAAAUAAAGAAGGAAUUGUGAAGUAGAUUUGUUGUUAAUGUUUUUCGGUUAAUUUAAAUUUGUUUGCGUUUUAUGAUGUUAAAAAGCUUUUAGGAAUAUCUGUAUGAAUAAUUUGUUCAAAGCAGUCAUAGAGUCAAUAUUUGUUCGUAUAAAAUUUUAUUUUUCUUUUUUUCUACAAUCAGAUAUACUAUAGAUACUUAUAUAUAAAACAAGCAAUAGAUAUUCGCGAAUUAAAUUCAUUGUUUGCCUCUUAAUUAUUAAAUAAUUAUUGCGCAUUUGAGUCAGUGCAUCAUGGAAGAUGAUCAAGGACCUAUUACACUUCUGUAGAAGAAUAUUGAUUUGCAUUGUCAUUAAGUCAAUGUACUACAAAUUCAAUCUAAUUAAUUUUCCAUCUACGUCGAUUUAUUUCAUUUUGGACUUAUUACGGAACAGUUUACAUUAAUUUCGAGCUACAACGGGGCGAAUGUUUUGGAGUUACUGUGGAUCUUAAGCAAUGAUAGUUAUUGAGACAGCAGCAGGUGUAGCUUGCAGAACGGAAGCCGAAUUGUGUGCAAACCAGAUGUGCAAACUCUGGAGACGCGGUUAUUCUGUUAUGCUCCAGGAAGAUUGAGUGAUGUGAUCAACGCCCUAAUUCAUGGGAAUGCGCCUUUAUCAACGUUAUGGUGUCUGGAGAGAUGAUGGCAGAUAAGUGCAACUAGGAGCUGUGUUGUAAUAGUGUGCGGAUUUAAUACUUGCCGCUUCAGUUUUUCCAAAAGUCCUGUAAGACCAUAAGUCCAUAAGUCUCGUUUGCGCAUUUGUUCGUCAGAAUUUGUUACUAGAUCUUUAAAUUAAGAAUUAUGCCCCUACUCUUGAUAUGAGAACGAGAUGAAAGUGCAUGGAAUUGAAUAUAAGAGUAGUCAGCUUCUGUUCGCCGAUAGUUUUUCUAAGAUUAUAUUUAGUUGAUUUGAUAGCUGCCUCCCGCAAUUCAUUUGAAUGGAGAUUGACUGGUGGAGGAAUGGACUGUAAGUUAUUAUUGAAGAUGGAUGCGCUGUCGUUAAAAAGCUGUUGAUGAACUGUGGUACUGAGCAGACGAUCUAGCUCGUGCAGUUGGUGAUGCGCUCUAAGAAAGUUAGUGACGUUAUUACUGAAGAUGACAGCCGAGUUUAUCGAUAGAUAACAAAGCGGCAAUGAAUAAAUAAUGUUGAAUCAAAAAACAGUAAGAAUGAAUUGAUUCCUGAUGCUCCUUUAACAUAGGAACUUUGUGCACGACGCAA